UGGGGAAUAUUGGACAAUGGGCGCAAGCCUGAUCCAGCCAUGCCGCGUGUGUGAAGAAGGCCUUCGGGUUGUAAAGCACUUUUGUCCGGAAAGAAAAGCUUCGGGUUAAUAACCUGGAGUCAUGACGGUACCGGAAGAAUAAGCACCGGCUAACUUCGUGCCAGCAGCCGCGGUAAUACGAAGGGUGCAAGCGUUACUCGGAAUUACUGGGCGUAAAGCGUGCGUAGGUGGUUUGUUAAGUCUGAUGUGAAAGCCCUGGGCUCAACCUGGGAACGGCAUUGGAUACUGGCUUACUAGAGUGCGGUAGAGGGUAGUGGAAUUCCCGGUGUAGCAGUGAAAUGCGUAGAUAUCGGGAGGAACAUCUGUGGCGAAGGCGACUACCUGGACCAGCACUGACACUGAGGCACGAAAGCGUGGGGAGCAAACA
rnacentral:rRNA from 1 species